CCUACGGGUGGCAGCAGUGAGGAAUAUUGGUCAAUGGGCGCGAGCCUGAACCAGCCAAGUAGCGUGAAGGAUGACUGCCCUAUGGGUUGUAAACUUCUUUUAUAUGGGAAUAAAGUGUGCCACGUGUGGCAUUUUGUAUGUACUUUAUGAAUAAGGAUCGGCUAACUCCGUGCCAGCAGCCGUGGUAAUACGGAGGAUCCGAGCGUUAUCCGGAUUUAUUGGGUUUAAAGGGAGCGUAGGUGGGUUGUUAAGUCAGUUGUGAAAGUUUGCGGCUCAACCGUAAAAUUGCAGUUGAUACUGGCAGUCUUGAGUACAGUAGAGGUAGGCGGAAUUCGUGGUGUAGCGGUGAAAUGCUUAGAUAUCACGAAGAACUCCGAUUGCGAAGGCAGCUCACUAGACUGCAACUGACAUUGAGGCUCGAAAGUGUGGGUAUCAAACAGGAUUAGAUACCCCUGUAGUC
rnacentral:rRNA from 1 species